rnacentral:rRNA from 1 species
AUGAACGCUGGCGGCGUGCCUAAUACAUGCAAGUCGAGCGAACAGAUGAGGAGCUUGCUCCUCUGACGUUAGCGGCGGACGGGUGAGUAACACGUGGAUAACCUACCUAUAAGACUGGGAUAACUUCGGGAAACCGGAGCUAAUACCGGAUAAUAUAUUGAACCGCAUGGUUCAAUAGUGAAAGACGGUUUUGCUGUCACUUAUAGAUGGAUCCGCGCCGCAUUAGCUAGUUGGUAAGGUAACGGCUUACCAAGGCAACGAUGCGUAGCCGACCUGAGAGGGUGAUCGGCCACACGGGAACUGAGACACAGUCCAGACUCCUACGGGAGGCAGCAGUAGGGAAUCUUCCGCAAUGGGCGAAAGCCUGACGGAGCAACGCCGCGUGAGUGAUGAAGGUCUUCGGAUCGUAAAACUCUGUUAUUAGGGAAGAACAAAUGUGUAAGUAACUAUGCACGUCUUGACGGUACCUAAUCAGAAAGCCACGGCUAACUACGUG